rnacentral:rRNA from 1 species
GCAGCCUAGCCUUUCCCCUACCUCCCUGCCGUCUCCCUCCUCAAAUUCCGUGCCACCAACCGCCUCCCCCUCGUUUUCCGGCGCCGACCACCGCCGUCCCGCCACUUGGCCGCGCCCCAGCCACCCACCGCCGCCAGCGCCGCCGCUCUGGCCAACCAGAGCGCGCCACGCAGGGCUCCCCGCGCCUCCCAGCCGCGCAGCCCGCCCAGGCCCGCGCGGAGCCCGUGGAGCCCAUCUGCGCCCGGAUCGCGCCGCCCGCGCCCCGCAGGAGCCCGUGCCCGCUCGCCCCGGGAGAUCCAGAUCGGGAGAGGAGCUCCCGAUCCAGAUCGACCCCGCCGCCUCGCCGACCUUCAUCGUCGCGCCGCCCCGGCCUUCUUCUCCUCCCUCUCCCUUCGAUCUUCUCUCUCCCUCACGAUCUCGCUCUCUGCAGCAGAAGCCGCCGCCGCCAUGGGAACCUCGUCGCCGGCCUGCUCCAGCCGGAUCCGCCCGAGAUCCGCCGGAUCCAGGGCCCCUCGUCCCAUUCCGGCCGGUCCCUGCCCUGGCCGCCUCGCCGGAGCCCCUCCCCGCGCCGGAGUGCCCUUGCGACGCCGCCAUGGCCUCCUGCCCGUGAGAAGCACGGGAGGAGGACGACCGCGUCGACCCCCUACGUGGGCCACGUCCCCGACCGGCCCAGCCGGCCUGCUUCCUUCCUGGGCUUGGGCCAAUGUGAACAGCCCCAGAUCCCCACUUUCGGCCCAGCACAUUUUUUUUUUCAGAUCUGCGAAUUUUGACCAAGUCCCUGGAAAAAUUCAUAAUAUGUCGGCAUGUUUAAUCCAUCAUAACUCCAUGCUCGUUGCUCCGAUUUGUGCAUGUAAUAGAUCAAAAUAUUCAUCAUGAGAUGCUCUUCAGUUUGUUCCUUUGUGC